CCUGGCUCAGAUUGAACGCUGGCGGCAGGCUUAACACAUGCAAGUCGAGCGGUAGCACAGGGGAGCAAGCUCCCCGGGUGACGAGCGGCGGACGGGUGAGUAAUGUCUGGGAAACUGCCUGAUGGAGGGGGAUAACUACUGGAAACGGUAGCUAAUACCGCAUAACGUCGCAAGACCAAAGAGGGGGACCUUCGGGCCUCUUGCCAUCAGAUGUGCCCAGAUGGGAUUAGCUAGUAGGUGGGGUAAUGGCUCACCUAGGCGACGAUCCCUAGCUGGUCUGAGAGGAUGACCAGCCACACUGGAACUGAGACACGGUCCAGACUCCUACGG
rnacentral:rRNA from 1 species